GUGCCAAGCAGCCGCGGUAUUCCCAGCUCCAAUAGCGUAUAUUAAAGUUGUUGCAGUUAAAAAGCUCGUAGUUGAACCUUGGGUCUGGCUGGCCGGUCCGCCUCACCGCGUGUACUGGUCCGGCCGGACCUUUCCUUCUGGGGAGCCGCAUGCCCUUCACUGGGCGUGUCGGGGAACCAGGACUUUUACUUUGAAAAAAUUAGAGUGUUCAAAGCAGGCCUUUGCUCGAAUACAUUAGCAUGGAAUAAUAGAAUAGGACGUGCGGUUCUAUUUUGUUGGUUUCUAGGACCGCCGUAAUGAUUAAUAGGGAUAGUCGGGGGCAUCCGUAUUCAAUUGUCAGAGGUGAAAUUCUUGGAUUUAUUGAAGACGAACUACUGCGAAAGCAUUUGCCAAGGAUGUUUUCAUUAAUCAGUGAACGAAAGUUAGGGGAUCGAAGACGAUCAGAUACCGUCGUAGUCUUAACCAUAAACUAUGCCGACUCGGGAUCGGUGGGCGUUACUAUUUUGACUCCAUCGGCACCGUACGAGAAAUCAAAGUUUUUGGGUUCUGGGGGGAGUAUGGUCGCAAGGCUGAAACUUAAAGAAAUUGACGGAAGGGCACCACCAGGCGUGGAGCCUGCGGCUUAAUUUGACUCAACACGGGGAAACUCACCAGGUCCAGACACAAUAAGGAUUGACAGAUUGAGAGCUCUUUCUUGAUUUUGUGGGUGGUGGUGCAUGGCCGUUCUUAGUUGGUGGAGUGAUUUGUCUGCUUAAUUGCGAUAACGAACGAGACCUUAACCUGCUAAAUAGCCCGGCCCGCUUUGGCGGGUCGCCGGCUUCUUAGAGGGACUAUCGGCUCAAGCCGAUGGAAGUUUGAGGCAAUAACAGGUCUGUGAUGCCC
rnacentral:rRNA from 1 species